rnacentral:rRNA from 1 species
UACGUAGGGCGCAAGCGUUGUCCGGAAUUAUUGGGCGUAAAGCGCGUGUAGGCGGCUCGAUAAGUCUGCUGUGAAAGUCCAGGCUCAACCCUGGGAUGCCGGUGGAUACUGUCGAGCUCGAGUCCGGAAGAGGCGAGUGGAAUUCCUGGUGGUAGCGGUGAAAUGCGCAGAUAUCAGGAGGAACACCAAUGGCGAAGGCAGCUCGCUGGGACGGUACUGACGCUGAGACGCGAAGCGUGGGAGCAAACAGG